AGGUGGCUUCCUGUUUGAAGGGCUCUCCGAUGAGGAGGAUGACUUUCACCCAAGUGCCAGGUCCACGCCCUCGAGCAGCACGUCCAGCUCCCGCCCAGCUUCCCUGGGGUACAGUGGAGCCGCCGGACCCCGGCCCAUCACUCAGAGCGAGCUGGCCACGGCCCUGGCCCUGGCCAGCACUCCGGAGAGCAGCUCUCACACGCCAACUCCUGGCACCCAGGGCCAUUCCUCUGGGACCUCCCCAAUGUCCUCAGGCGUCCAGUCAGGGACGCCCAUCACCAACGAUCUGUUCAGCCAAGCCCUACAGCAUGCGCUGCAGGCCUCCGGGCAGCCCAGCCUUCAGAAUCAGAUGGAACUUGAAUCUUUGGAAAAGAACAGAGAGCAUUGGAAAUGCUUCAUCUUCAAGACUCUCGUCCAGAUGCCUCAUCUGCAAAACCCACCAGCUUAACUAA
rnacentral:lncRNA from 1 species